rnacentral:rRNA from 1 species
GUUUGAUCAUGGCUCAGAUUGAACGCUGGCGGCAGGCCUAACACAUGCAAGUCGAGCGGCAGCGGGAGGAAGCUUGCUUCCUGGCCGGCGAGCGGCGGACGGGUGAGUAAGGUAUGGGGAUCUGGCCGAAGGCGGGGGAUAACCACUGGAAACGGUGGCUAAUACCGCAUAAUCUCUAAGGAGCAAAGUGGGGGACCAUUAGGCCUCACACCUUCGGAUGAACCCAUAUGAGAUUAGCUAGUAGGUGGGGUAAGGGCUCACCUAGGCGACGAUCUCUAGCUGGUCUGAGAGGAUGAUCAGCCACACUGGGACUGAGACACGGCCCAGACUCCUACGGGAGGCAGCAGUGGGGAAUAUUGCACAAUGGGUGCAAGCCUGAUGCAGCCAUGCCGCGUGUAUGAAAAAGGCCUUCGGGUUGUAAAGUACUUUCAGUCGUGAGGAAGGUGUUAAGGUUAAUAGCCUUAGCAAUUGACGUUAGCGACAGAAGAAGCACCGGCUAACUCCGUGCCAGCAGCCGCGGUAAUACGGAGGGUGCGAGCGUUAAUCGGAAUUACUGGGCGUAAAGGGCACGCAGGCGGUUAAUUAAGUUGGAUGUGAAAU